rnacentral:rRNA from 1 species
UGAGGAAUAUUGGUCAAUGGGCGCAAGCCUGAACCAGCCAUGCCGCGUGCAGGAUGAAGCAUCUAUGGUGUGUAAACUGCUUUUGUACGGGAAGAAACCACCCCUCGUGAGGGGUAUUGACGGUACCGUAAGAAUAAGGAUCGGCUAACUCCGUGCCAGCAGCCGCGGUAAUACGGAGGAUCCAAGUGUUAUCCGGAAUCAUUGGGUUUAAAGGGUCCGUAGGCGGGUCUGUAAGUCAGUGGUGAAAUCUCCCCGCUCAACGGGAAACUGCCAUUGAUACUGCAGGUCUUGAAUUAUUGGGAAGUAACUAGAAUAUGUAGUGUAGCGGUGAAAUGCUUAGAGAUUACAUGGAAUACCAAUUGCGAAGGCAGGUUACUACCAAUGGAUUGACGCUGAUGGACGAAAGCGUGGGUAGCGAACA